GAUGAACGCUGGCGGCGUGCCUAACACAUGCAAGUCGAGCGAUCUUCUUCGGAAGAGAGCGGCGGACGGGUGAGUAACGCGUGGGUAACCUGCCUCAUACACAUGGAUAACAUACCGAAAGGUAUGCUACUACAAGAUGAUAUAAGAGAUUCGCAUGGAUUUCUUAUCAAAGCUCCGGCGGUAUGAGAUGGAACCGCGUCUGAUUAGCUAGUUGGUAAGGUAACGGCUGACCAAGGCGACGAUCAGUACCCGACCUGAGAGGGUGAUCGGCCACAUUGGAACUGAGACACGGUCCAAACUCCUACGGGAGGCAGCAGUGGGGAAUAUUGCACAAUGGGCGAAAGACUGAUGCAGCAACGCCGCGUGAGCGAUGAAGGCCUUCGGGUCGUAAAGCUCUGUCCUCAAGGAAGAUAAUGACGGUACUUGAGGAGGAAGCCCCGGCUAACUACGUGCCAGCCGCCGCCGUAA
rnacentral:rRNA from 1 species